GCCGUAUUAAAAGAUAAAUAAAGAAGUAAUUAAUAAAAAAUAAGAGAGAAAGAAGUCAAAAUAGUGUGAAAGAGAGAAAAAGAAAGAGAUAAGACAUGUAAGUCAUUAAAGAGAGAGAGCGUAAAUUAUAAUUACUCUUUUGAUAUAUUUUUUUUUAUUAUUUACUUCUUCAAAAUUUUAUAUGAGAUAUAGAGUAAAUUUAUAAAAUUAAUAGGGUCAAUUUUGGCUUUUCGU
rnacentral:lncRNA from 1 species